GGUGAUAUAGCUCAGUUGGUAUAGUGCUUGCCUGGUAGGCACAAGGUCCUGGGUUCAAUCCCUAGCACAACCA
rnacentral:tRNA from 1 species